ensembl:lncRNA
CCUCCUUAUCUGUGCCGCCAGCAGCAACAUUGGCAGUGCUGGAAAUUGGACUUGUUAAUUAAACUAGUGCUCCCUCUGUUGGCUGGAUGUCAGCGCCCCGAAACAAGGGCUUGCGCAGCCAGGGACUGCAUUGAUUUAUGUAAAAAACAGAUGCACUGGAUAGAGUUAGAGCCCAGAAGAUAUCCCGGAGUUACAGUUGUCUUGCAAAUGAAAAUCGGGUCUCGAAUAAGCCCCUUCACCGAGUGCAGCCUGAGCGCAUCACAGAAAUACAGGCUGCAUAAUUUGGAACUCUUCAGAAAAUGUUUACUCCCUAUGCAUGCCGCUAAGGCUUCCCUGCCUUUACAUUCACGUCAAUCAGAAAUAAUUUGGAGCGCUUGAAGUCUACCUGGCAAAGAAGUGAAAUCAUUCAGACCUUUAUGCCAGGAUGCUGCGGAAUACCAAAUGAAGUCUAAGAAUUAAAUUUAUUUCAUGUCACUUUAGUUUGUGCUCAAAUUCAACUCGGGAAGGUUUCAGAGACAAAACUCGGCACCUGUAUUCUAUCUGCGUCUUCCAAGUAGCUGCACAGCCGCAGAAAGAAUGUGGAUGAAUGCACACAUUCAAGGUUUAAUGUGAGAAAAUGCAUCUCGUUCAAGUUGUUUAAGACCUGCACUUCAAAGCUGUGUAGCACGUUGUGUAAAACUGUGCAUAAGCAGUUUGCUCAGGUUUGAGGGUUACACCGUCUCGGUGUUUUCCCAUCACUCGCCUAAGAAGAAUGAAGAACUUUCCACCAAGGAACUAAAUUACACAUCCAGAAGCUGAUGGAAUAUCUUGGGCCCCUGUGUUUAUCUCACUCACGUUGAUGGAAGGUAACACAAAGGCGAUGGAGAUGUGCCCAUCUUACUGAGAAGCCUUUGAGGAGACUUCAUGUGGGGUAAUUAUUUGUGCCAUGAAGCCGGCAGUAUGAGAGGAUCCUGAUGAUUGAAUUCUUACUAGAAGAACAUGAGGUCCAUCUUGUGUGUGUUGGGACCCAUGCUUGUUUUAUUAGGGCAUAUGACUGGCUGGUUUCUGAUGGUGGAAGUGAACAUAUGAUUCUGUGGCUUUCCCCAGGACCAGAAAAGGGAGCGAACAGCAUGGGCAGAGACAGCAACCCCAUUUGCCUCGUCAUUAACAGAGACAUUUUCUUAAUUUUUUAUUUUUUUUUUUAAUUUUUACUCAGAAGCACACUGAGAAGUGAAUGUUAGUCUCCC